UUGUUAGAAGCCAAAUUUAGAGGCAUAUCCCUGUUAAGGAUAACAUUGAAUUUAUAUUCCUAGCAAG
rnacentral:tRNA from 1 species